rnacentral:rRNA from 1 species
AGUGAACGCUGGCGGUAGGCCUAACACAUGCAAGUCGAACGGCAGCACAGUAAGAGCUCGCUCUUACGGGUGGCGAGUGGCGGACGGGUGAGGAAUACAUCGGAAUCUACUUUUUCGGGGGGGAUAACGUAGGGAAACUUACGCUAAUACCGCAUACGACCUACGGGUGAAAGCAGGAGAUAUUCGGACCUUGCGCGAUUGAAUGAGCCGAUGUCGGAUUAGCUAGUUGGCGGGGUAAAGGCCCACCAAGGCGACGAUCCGUAGCCGGUCUGAGAGGAUGAUCCGCCACACUGGAACUGAGACACGGUCCAGACUCCUACGGGAGGCAGCAGUGGGGAAUAUUGGACAAUGGGCGCAAGCCUGAUCCAGCCCUACCGCGUGGGUGAAGAAGGCCUUCGGGUUGUAAAGCCCUUUUGUUGGGAAAGAAAAGCAGCAGAUUAAUACCUCGCUGUUUUGACGGUACCCAAAGAAUAAGCACCGGCUAACUUCGUG